rnacentral:rRNA from 1 species
CGCGUAGGUGGUUUGUUAAGUUGGAUGUGAAAGCCCCGGGCUCAACCUGGGAACUGCAUCCAAAACUGGCAGGCUAGAGUACAGUAGAGGGUGGUGGAAUUUCCUGUGUAGCGGUGAAAUGCGUAGAUAUAGGAAGGAGCACCAGUGGCGAAGGCGACCACCUGAACUGAUACUGACACUGAGGUGCGAAAGCGUGGGGAGCAAACA